UGGGCAAGUAAAGAGGGGGGCGUCGGCUCUAUGGGGGCUGAAGGGACACUGUAUGGGGCCGCUAUGUGGCGCAGGAUGGCUCCUUAUGGGGCAUCUAUGGGGCUGAGACAACUUAAAUGGGGCACCUAUGGGGCAGGAUGCUCCUUAUGGGGACACUAUGGGGCUGAAAGAGACACUUAUGGGCAACCUAUGGGGCAGGAUUGGCCCUUAUGGCAAUCUAUGGGCUGAAGGGACACUUAUGGGUGCAGCUAUGGGGCAGACGGCUACUUAUGGGGCAACGCUUAUGGGGCUGAAGGUCACUUAAUUGGGGCAGCUCAAUGGGGCGUAAAGUCCACUAAGGGGCAGCUAUGGGGCAGGGAUGGCUGCCUUAAUGGGGCAAGCUAUGGGGCCCCCCCCCCCCCCCCAAAGGGACACUUAUGGGGCAGAAGGGACAGUUGUGGGGCAGCUAUUGAGGGCAGAAGGGACACUUAUGGGGCAUCUAUGGGGCAGAAGGGACACUUGUGGGGCAGCUAUGGGGCUGAAAGGACACUUAUGGGGCAGCUAUGGGGCUGAAAGGUCACUUAUGGGGCUGCUAUGGGGCAGGAGGGACACUUAUGGGGCAGAAGAAUUAUUUACGGGGCAUCUAUGGGGCAGGGUGUCUACUUAUGGGGCAGCUAUGGGGCAGAAGGGGGGGAGAUGUGGGGCAGAAAGGGGGGGAGAUGUGGGGCAGAAGGGGGGAGAUGUGGGGCAGAAGGGGUAUAUGGGCAGAAUGGGGGAAUGUGGGCAGAAUGGGGGGAGAUGUGGGCUGGUGGCGGGAGAUUGUGGGGCAGAAGGGCGGGGGUAGAAUGUGG
rnacentral:lncRNA from 1 species